CAAACAGAUACAUAAGCACAUACAAGGUGCUCAUCUCAGCUAGAUGCCUUGUUGGAGGGAUGGAGCAUCUACUGCUGGCUGCAGUGCUGCCAGGAGGUUGAAAUCCCCAUGCUGCUCACCAGCGAGGAAAAGUCAACUCCACAGAGGACCUAUAUUGGACUCCAGCUCUGCUAUAUUUCUAUCUCUACCAUCUACGGAGGGAGACUUGAACUUGCUGGAUA
rnacentral:lncRNA from 1 species